rnacentral:lncRNA from 1 species
AAAGAAUCCUAAUAACAAACACAGCAAACACAGCAGCCUCCAGCUUGUAGCCCAUCCUGCAGCCAUUGAGUCUGCCACACUCCGUCUCCCUGAGUCUAUUCUCCUCUCAUACAUGUGCCCUCCCUCUGUCUAUUCUCUCAUACAUGUGCCCUCCCUCUGCUAUGCUUCUCUGCAGCACGUGACUAGCAUGUCCAUCCUUUCCACUGAGCUGAGCUGGCCCGUCCAUCCUGCCUCUACUCACUGACCAACUUGUUCUCCCUUGGGCCUUGAUGCCUCUGCCACCUGCUGUCUUCGUCCUGGUGCCCCCAAGACAUUCUGAGAUGGAAGUCAAUCCACACGUGAUGGGAGAAGAGAGUCGCCCAUUCUGAGAGGCCCACAGGCGGCUCAAUUGCAGCCCAGGAACUUCCUUCUUUAUCCCAGUUCCCACUGCCUGUGGCUCUGUGAGCAGGGCCAGAACAGGGUGUGGCUAGAAGAUGAGCCUGGUCUGGGCACCCCUGGAAGCAGAUGGGAGUGAGAUCCAGUUAAGCGCACAUGAGGGAGGGGCUUGAGGGAGUGGCCUCUGUUGUGCUUGCCUGGGCUUAGCCUGGCAAGGACCCCCUGAUAAAUCAGGACAAGCUCCCAAGAGGAUUCGGCCUCCCCUCCAAUGUCUCACAGCACCCAGG